rnacentral:rRNA from 1 species
GCCUACGGGGCGCAGCAGUGGGGAAUAUUGCACAAUGGGGGGAACCCUGAUGCAGCGACGCCGCGUAAGUGAAGAAGUAUUUCGGUAUGUAAAGCUCUAUCAGCAGGGAAGAAAAUGACGGUACCUGACUAAGAAGCCCCGGCUAACUACGUGCCAGCAGCCGCGGUAAUACGUAGGGGGCAAGCGUUAUCCGGAUUUACUGGGUGUAAAGGGAGCGUAGACGGUUAUGCAAGUCUGAAGUGAAAGCUCAAGG